rnacentral:misc_RNA from 1 species
AAAAAAUUUGCUGAAUUUAUAGCAGAUAAACUUAACGAGUCAUCAUCAAAGAUUCGUGUCUGCCUGCCACAAAAGGGUAUCUCAGCUUUGGAUGCACCUGGGAAACCAUUUUGUGACCCUGAGUCUACUGCUACUCUAAUAAGUGAACUACAGAAGCUAAUACAGAUAAAUGAAGACCGGCAGGUACAGGUGUGUUCUUAUCAUAUCAAUGACCCAGAAUUCGCAGAUACAUUGGUGGAUUCCUUUUU